GACGAACGCUGGCGGCGCGCUUAACACAUGCAAGUCGAGCGAGAACCAGGCCUUCGGGCCUGGGGACAGCGGCGAACGGGUGAGUAACACGUGGGUAAUCAACCCUCGGUACUGGGAUAGCCCGGGGAAACCCGGAUUAAUACCGGAUGGCCCUUCGGAGCUUCGGUUCCGAAGGAAAAGGUAGCUUCGGCCUCCGACCGAGGACGAGCCCACGGCGGAUUAGCUUGUUGGUGGGGUAACGGCCUACCAAGGCGGCGAUCCGUAGCUGGUCUGAGAGGACGAUCAGCCACACUGGGACUGAGACACGGCCCAGACUCCUACGGGAGGCAGCAGUGGGGAAUCUUGCGCUAAUGCGGGAAACCGUGACGCAGCGACGCCGCGUGAGGGAAGAAGGCCUUCGGGUUGUAAACCUCUUUCAGGAGGGACGAAGCUACUCGGGUUAAUAGCCUAGAGGGUGACGGUACCUCCAGAAGAAGCCCCGGCUAACUACGUGCCAGCCGCCGCUGUAACAC
rnacentral:rRNA from 1 species